GCAAGUCGAACGGAAACAGGACGCUGUGCUCCCCUCGGGGUGAACUUGUCGCUGACGAGUGGCGGACGGGUGAGUAAUGCUUGGGAAUCUGCCCAGUAGUGGGGGACAACACGAGGAAACUCGUGCUAAUACCGCAUACGUCCUACGGGGGAAAGUGGGGGAUCUUCGGACCUCACGCUAUUGGAUGAGCCCAAGUCGGAUUAGCUUGUUGGUGGGGUAAAAGCCUACCAAGGCGACGAUCCGUAGCUGGUCUGAGAGGACGAUC
rnacentral:rRNA from 1 species